rnacentral:rRNA from 1 species
AUUGAACGCUGGCGUCAGGCCUAACACAUGCAAGUCGAGCGGAUGAAGGGAGCUUGCUCCUGGAUUCAGCGGCGGACGGGUGAGUAAUGCCUAGGAAUCUGCCUGGUAGUGGGGGAUAACGUCCGGAAACGGGCGCUAAUACCGCAUACGUCCUGAGGGAGAAAGUGGGGGAUCUUCGGACCUCACGCUACCAGAUGAGCCUAGGUCGGAUUAGCUAGUUGGUGGGGUAAAGGCCUACCAAGGCGACGAUCCGUAACUGGUCUGAGAGGAUGAUCAGUCACACUGGAACUGAGAUACGGUCCAGACUCCUACGGGAGGCAGCAGUGGGGAAUAUUGGACAAUGGGCGAAAGCCUGAUCCAGCCAUGCCGAGUGUGUGAAGAAGGUCUUCGGAUUGUAAAGCACUUUAAGUUGGGAGGAAGGGCAGUAAGUUAAUACCUUGCUGUUUUGACGUUACCAACAGAAUAAGCACCGGCUAACUUCGUG